rnacentral:misc_RNA from 1 species
GAUGAAGAACGUAGCGAAAUGCGAUAAGUAAUGUGAAUUGCAGAAUUCAGUGAAUCAUCGAAUCUUUGAACGCACCUUGCGCCCUUUGGCUAUUCCGAAGGGCAUGCCUGUUUGAGUAUCAUGAACACCUCAACUCUCAUGGUUUGCCAUGAUGAGCUUGGACUCUGGGGGUCUUGCUGGCCUAUGGUCAGCUCCUCUCAAAUAAAUCAGCUUGCCAGUGUUUGGUGGCGUCACAGGUGUGAUAACUAUCUACGCUUGUGGUUUUCCAUCAGGUAACCUUCAGUGAUGGAGGUUCGCUGGAGCUCAUAAAUGUCCCUCCUCAGCGAGGACAGCUUUUUGAACAUUUGAUCUCAAAUCAGGUAGGACUACCCGCUGAACUUAAGCAUAUCAAUAAGCGGAGGA